GAUGAACGCUGGCGGCGUGCCUAAUACAUGCAAGUCGAGCGAACAGACGAGGAGCUUGCUCCUCUGACGUUAGCGGCGGACGGGUGAGUAACACGUGGAUAACCUACCUAUAAGACUGGGAUAACUUCGGGAAACCGGAGCUAAUACCGGAUAAUAUAUUGAACCGCAUGGUUCAAUAGUGAAAGACGGUUUUGCUGUCACUUAUAGAUGGAUCCGCGCCGCAUUAGCUAGUGGGUAAGGUAACGGCUUACUAAGGCGACGAUGCGUAGCCGACCUGAGAGGGUGAUCGGCCACACUGGAACUGAGACACGGUCCAGACUCCUACGGGAGGCAGCAGUAGGGAAUCUUCCGCAAUGGGCGAAAGCCUGACGGAGCAACGCCGCGUGAGUGAUGAAGGUCUUCGGAUCGUAAAACUCUGUUAUUAGGGAAGAACAAAUGUGUAAGUAACUAUGCACGUCUUGACGGUACCUAAUCAGAAAGCCACGGCUAACUACGUG
rnacentral:rRNA from 1 species